rnacentral:rRNA from 1 species
UACGUAGGUGGCGAGCGUUGUCCGGAUUUACUGGGCGUAAAGAGCGCGCAGGCGGUCGUUCAAGUCGCGUGUGAAAGCCCCCGGCUCAACUGGGGAGGGUCACGCGAUACUGAUCGACUCGAAGGCAGGAGAGGGUAGUGGAAUUCCCGGUGUAGUGGUGAAAUGCGUAGAUAUCGGGAGGAACACCAGUGGCGAAGGCGACUACCUGGCCUGUUCUUGACACUGAGGCGCGACAGCGUGGGGAGCAAACAGG